CAAUAAUCUGCUAUAGUGGGAGAUAAAGUUAAAAGAGGUGAGAAAUGAAUUAUUUUCCCAUUUCUCUUUUCUUUCACUCAAAAGUUCUCCCUUUCCUCCUCGAUCACUUUGCUCUCAUCAUCAGAACAGGGUAUUUUGGUCAAGAGGUACCAUUGUUUCACCCACCUCUUGACUAUGGGGGACGAUGAAGGUCUCUAUAGCAGCAUGCAUGUCACUAUAGCAGGAGUCUACAGACAGUAGCCUCUCAGUUACAUACUGUAAUGGAUGAAAAUUAAGAAAAUACCCCUGCCUGUGAGAUAUUUGCUAUUGAAGUAAGUCGGAAGAGAUAUCAUGAGUACAGAAGGAUGGGGUUAUGUCACGAGAGGGAAUUUUUCUUGAAGGGGAUGGUAGAGAAGGCACUCGAAUUUUACUACUGUCCCUAGGAGUUUGGCUGGAGCCCAUUGGUGGUGGAUCCCCCUUUCGAGGGCUCAAGCUGGGUCAGGGAGUUUUAUGUUAUACUCUUUAUCUUGCUUUGGGACGACCUUAACCCCACCAUCCAUAUUAAGGGAGUAGAUGUCUCGAUGAAUGUUUUCAAUAUAAACGAGGAUCUCUGGAAGGCACACAUCUUGAAUGUUGAGUACUUAACUAGGUUUUCGGAGAUGGACAUGAAGUAGUUUCGUGAUGCUCUAGGUUUGGAGGGGUUACGGAAUGAGCCUACUGGCCCACUAUCGAGGGCAUUACAUGUACCUACUUUUCAGCCGAUGCUAGGACGUGGCUGAACCUGGUGUCUCAGAGGAUUCGUCUUUCAAGAAACACUUUUAAAGUGACUUACCCUCGGGCCUUGGUAGUAUCCUGUGCCAUCGGAAGUAUUAAACUGAAUGUGGGGGCACAGAUAGUGAUGGAGUGGACAAACUUGUAGAAAGAAGGGUCCCUAUCUUUCAGGUUUGGUUUAUACAUUGUGUAGGCAUGCUAGGGUGUUUGAGAAGGCGGUUGAUCGGGAGGUGGAGAUGGGCAUCCCAUUCCCCAUUUUACAGUAAAGGUGUUGGAGUUUAGGAGAUGAAGAAGAGAAAGUCCAAAUAGGUAGAUAGCAGUAGAGCUACAAAGGAAGCUAAGGAUGUUAAUGAGGAUGAUGAUGAUGUUGCCCCUAUAUCCCGGUCCCAGCCCCCGAUACCUAGCUGCCAUCUAGAGUCAGACUUGGUUGCAGGAGAUCCAUGAAGUAUGUCCCUACCAGAUCUGCAGCCCCACCUCCCACUACCCAGGACUAUACAGUGCUUCACAGAGAGCUCAACAAGGAGAAGAAGAGAAGGAGCUCCUUGAAUCGCUUGAUGGCAUAGAUGCAGAAGAAUAUAAAGUCAUGUUUAGCUAUGCAGUCCCCAACUAGAAGCUUCCCUAGAUGAAGCAGGAGGAUCUGAGGGAGUUUCCCUUUUUGAGUAAUUCAAAGGAAGACGACCCCAGCCUAGCAGCCUACUAUAGUGACAGGGCAUCCAGUUAGGCACUUUUUCUCCUUCCCCCUAUAUAUAUACUAUUGUUAUUUUGGAUUUCCCUCUUUUAGGGAAUGUACUGUACAUUAUUCCUCCCUUUCUUUUUUUUUCUUUAUUUAUCGUACAUGGAUGCUAGUUUUUAAACUUUUUUAUGUGUCGAAUGCAUGCUCGACUUUUCUACA